rnacentral:piRNA from 1 species
AAUGAUGAUAGAGAAUUGACCAAGAAA